UCGAUCGUUUCACUCGUUCUACUGGGUCUUGCCCUGGUUCUGGGUAUUAUUCUUACCGAAAACACAAGCACAACACAAGCUUUCGUACGAAGCAAGAGCUACAAUCCGUCGCGUUUCAAAGAAUCGUGGAAUCGCAGUUCUGGCCCUGGUAAUCGCAAAUCGAUGCCACCAAACAAUUUGACCCGAAACGAAAAUGAAAAUGAAGGCGAAGCGAGCUGUCGUCUAUCGGGAAGGACUUGUACUGAGGACGAGCAGUGCUGCAGCAGUAUAUGCCUACACUUCAAGCGUUGCUCUAAAACUUCUGCGUUUUAGGUUCUUGUUUUCCAUACGGCACUUAAACAGAUAAAUAAAUAUAUUGUGCGCUCUUCCAAAA